GUCGGUCGAGUUGGGGGCGGGGUUCGGAGUUCGACCGUGGGAGGGGCCAUUAAGGGUUUUGGUCCAUAUGCGGCUCAAGUGUUUGAAAUUGUAUCCAUGCUUAUAACCAAUAUUGAAGACAAAGUUGCGCUCAUAUUCUUUAUCAGACCUAAUUCGAUCGACCGGCGUAUAUUUGUUGCGUUGCAGUGUGGUGCAUGUGUGCACCGUGCUCUUGCCGGGGCCCUGAGGCGUGCUGGCUCUGGGAUGCUCAAUGGGCGGGGCCCCACUGUUUUUCAAUCAAUUCGAAAUGAUAAAGAUCAUAUA
rnacentral:lncRNA from 1 species